GUGUGAGAAUUGAUGGUGACAUCUGUCACCCCACUGAUCGGCAAGGUUGGUUGACUGGGCAGAUCUAGUGGUUAGGCAGGCAUCCUCUUACUUCCUCACAGCU
rnacentral:sRNA from 1 species